rnacentral:sRNA from 2 species
AUGUACCCCUCGUACACUCCGGUUCUGAGCGCGCCGUCCACACCCACCUGACGACUGCUCGCUACGUUUUGUUAGCC